AUUGAACGCUGGCGGCAUGCCUUACACAUGCAAGUCGAACGGUAACGGGCCUUCGGGUGCCGACGAGUGGCGAACGGGUGAGUAAUACAUCGGAACGUGCCCGAUCGUGGGGGAUAACGAGGCGAAAGCUUUGCUAAUACCGCAUACGAUCUACGGAUGAAAGCAGGGGACCGCAAGGCCUUGCGCGGACGGAGCGGCCGAUGGCAGAUUAGGUAGUUGGUGGGAUAAAAGCUUACCAAGCCGACGAUCUGUAGCUGGUCUGAGAGGAUGGUCAGCCACACUGGGACUGAGACACGGCCCAGACUCCUACGGGAGGCAGCAGUGGGGAAUUUUGGACAAAGGGCGCAAGCCUGAUCCAGCCAUGCCGCGUGCAGGAUGAAGGCCUUCGGGUUGUAAACUGCUUUUGUACGGAACGAAAAGCCUUCUUUUAAUACAGGAGGGUCAUGACGGUACCGUAAGAAUAAGCACCGGCUAACUACGUG
rnacentral:rRNA from 1 species